rnacentral:rRNA from 1 species
AUGCUGCGGUGCGACGGCGACCGCGUCGUCAUUGUCGGCGGUGGCAUCGCCGGCGCCCUCCUCGCCAAGACGCUCCAAAACCACGCCGACGUGGUACUCAUCGACCCGAAGGAGUACUUCGAGAUCCCGUGGGCGAACGUGCGCGCCAAGGUGGAGCCGACGGUGGUGGAGCGCACCGUGAUCCCGCACGCGGACUACCUCACCGACGCCAAGGUGGUGACGGCCAAGGCGGUCGGCGUCGAUGACUCCGUUGUUCUCACCUCCAUCGGUCGCACCGUCGGCUACGACUUCCUGGUCAUCGCCACGGGCCGCACCUGCACCCGCCCCCAGAGCCGCCCCGAGCGACUCGAGAUGUUCCACCGCGACAAGGACCGGAUCGCCGCCGCGAGCUCCGUGCUCAUCAUCGGCGGCGGGCCCAUCGGGGUCGAGCUCGCGGCGGAGAUCAUCAUGGACAGCCCCGACAAGCGCGUCACCCUCGUCCACGGCGGGCCUCGGCUGCUCAUGGUGAUGAGCCCCCGCGCGUCGGCCAAGGCGCUCGAGUGGCUCCGGUCCAAGAACGUCACCGUGCUGCUGGACCAGACCAUCGACGUCGAUCUCGCCGGCAGCGGCGACGGUCACGAAGGACAGCGCGACUUCACGACGUCCGCCGGGGAGACGGUGUCCGCCGACUGCCACUUCGUGUGCACGGGCCGGCCCGUCGCGUCCGGGUGGCUGAGGGGCACGUUCCUCGGGGAAUACAUUGGCGCCGACGGCAGGCUGGUGGUGGACGAGCACCUGCGCGUGGGCAGGCUCAAGAACGUGUUCGCCAUCGGCGACAUCACCGACGUGCCGGAGGCGAAGCAGGGGUACCUGGCGCAGCGGCACGCCAUGGUGGUGUCCCGGAACCUGCGUCUGCUGCUCAGGUCUGACGGCCCGGAGCAUAAGCUGCACCGAUACAAGGCCUCGAAGGCCGCCAUCACCGUCACGCUCGGCCGCCGCGACGCGGUGUCGGAGCUGCCGUUCAUGUCGCUCAUCGGCCACAUCCCCGGCGUCGUCAAGCCACGGGACCUCUACGUGUCGCGGACGCGAAGGAUGAUGGGGAUAAAAAGUAAGAACGGGGAAUCCUGA